AGAGUCCACAAAGAAUGAAAUCAGAAAAGCAUUCACCACAAGCUGCCAUUCCAACCAGACGUUCGGUGCUCAGGACUCCCAAAGGAGAGGAUUUUGAAGUUUGUAAUUCAAGAUCAAACCUUGCAAAUAAAAGUGAAAAAGAUCCAAAGAUAAAGAAAGUAGUUGAAGCUGAGACUUCUGGAUCAAAGAAAGUUGAACCUAGAGCACGUCAGAGCCUUAAAAGAUCCAAGCAGACUGUUAGCUCAGCUAAGCCAGACACAAGGACAAGUACUGUAGCUUUCAAUUUUAGAAGUGAUGAACGAGCAGAAAGGAGGAAAGAGUUCUACAUGAAGUUGGAAGAAAAAAUGCACGCAAAGGAAACUGAGAUGAAUCAGAUUCAAGCAAAAACACAAGAAAAGACUGAGGCUGAGAUUAAACAAUUCCGGAAAAGCCUUAAUUUCAAAGCAAUACCUAUGCCUUCUUUCUAUCAUGCUGCUGCAUCACCAGGUUCCAAUGGAAACAAGGCCACAUCAUCUAAAACCAAACCAGCUAAAAUACAACAGAAGCCAGUAAGUCCAGGAAGUGGAGCCGCUUCAAGAUCACAAUUGUUUUCCAAGUCAGGAAAUAACCAUGCUGUCUCUGCUGUAGAACCUGUAAACACAAGCAAUCUGCCUGAGUCCUUAGGGCCAACUGAUUGCCAUGCAAUAGCACCUUCUGAAGCUGGUGAAAGGGAAACCCUAGCAAGAAACAACAGCAGCCACCCAGAAGCUGCACUGAAAAAUGGUUGCGCUGGCAAAGACUUGGAGAAAGUGAAGAAUACCAAUUUGCAAAGACAUAAAGUGUCAGAGAAUGGUAAAGUGUCAAAGGACCAGAGGGUUGAGGGCAGGCCAAAAAUGGGAAACCGAAGAAAUAGCAGUGAGAUGGUGAGGAAAAGUAUCAAGGGUGUUGGAAUUGGCAGCAAUUCCGGAGUGGGUCGUGUAGCUGUUGGUGUAGCCUCCUGAUCUGAGUUAUUUUCUCCACUGGCUGAAAGAUGCUAUCUUAGUUGCCUGUGAUGGUAUGUUUUGCAUGCUCCCUGCUGUAUUAAUAGAAGUGCAAAGGGAAUGGUGAUUGUAUCAGGCAAUGUCCCACGUAAAUCUCAACACGUUACAAUGGGUUGUGUGGAGAUAGCAUUUUUCCUUGUGUCAUUGCUUAACAUAUGUGUUGCAGGUAUUGUACCGUGGGGAUGGAAUAGGUAAUAAUAAUGGUGGCUUGAUCACGGGAAUUGUUGAAAUUGAAGGUUCUCUUGCCGGAGUCAUAUAUGAAAACAGCAACGGGAGUUUCAAGUCUUGUGAAGUAUUUAUUAUCUAAUAAUAAAAGUAUCUUGCGUCUGGUAGUAUGUAUGAUACUUGUCAAGCAUAUGAAUGUAGACAAAGACUGCAAAAAUUUUAAUGUAAAAAAUUAUGCAAUUAAUUUCAUAAACAAGACUUAGAUAUAUGUUAUUUGAGAUCCCAGGACCCAGGGGGGCUUUUACUAUGGUUACCACAAUUUUUAGCCAUCAUCGGGAAACGGUGGCAGGUGUUGUUUUGGUAGAAAUGGUGAUGUUCAUUGGCAGUGGAGGAUGCUUUUAUUGUUUUACCGUUUAGAAGUUUUUAUGUUUUUCAAAUUAUUAUAUACUUUUGAUAUAUGUG
rnacentral:misc_RNA from 1 species